GUUUAAUGAUACUUAUAACUUCACCCUUAACAAGAAGCAAGUCGAUGUGAAUAAGGUCGGUAUUUCAUGGAAGAGUGACCGGGAACAUAAAUUCGGCAAGAAUGUAUUUCCCAAGAACUUUCAAAAUGGUACACUGAAAGGAGGCAAAACCCUUGAUGCAGACAAACCAUUGAGUCAACAGGAGGACCUUAUUGUGUGGAUGCGAACUGCUGCUCUUCCCACAUUCAGAAAGUUAUAUGGAAAGAUAGAGGUCGACCUUGAGAAAAAUGAUGUAAUAGAUGUGGUUUUGGAGAACAAUUAUAACACUUACAGUUUUAACGGCAAGAAAAAGCUUGUGCUUUCUACAACUAGC
rnacentral:misc_RNA from 1 species